rnacentral:rRNA from 1 species
GACGAACGCUGGCGGCGUGCUCAACACAUGCAAGUCGAACGAAGAGCGAUGGAAGCUUGCUUCUAUCAAUCUUAGUGGCGAACGGGUGAGUAACGCGUAAUCAACCUGCCUUUCAGAGGGGGACAACAGUUGGAAACGACUGCUAAUACCGCAUACGAUCUAAUCUCGGCAUCGAGGAUAGAUGAAAGGUGGCCUCUACAUGUAAGCUAUCACUGAAGGAGGGGAUUGCGUCUGAUUAGCUAGUUGGAGGGGUAACGGCCCACCAAGGCGAUGAUCAGUAGCCGGUCUGAGAGGAUGAACGGCCACAUUGGGACUGAGACACGGCCCAGACUCCUACGGGAGGCAGCAGUGGGGAAUCUUCCGCAAUAGACGAAAGUCUGACGGAGCAACGCCGCGUGAGUGAUGACGGCCUUCGGGUUGUAAAGCUCUGUUAAUCGGGACGAAAGGCCUUCUUGCGAAUAGUGAGAAGGAUUGACGGUACCGGAAUAGAAAGCCACGGCUAACUACGUG